rnacentral:lncRNA from 1 species
GUGAAGUACUGUCUAGCCAUGGUAAAUUAAGUCUCUGCUUUUCCUUAGUCUGUUGCUUUUUCUAUUUUGUGGUGGAAUAAUACUGCAGUGAAAGAGUUCAGAGGGAAUAAGAGGAGGUAUGUAAGAACCAUGCAGAGAAGGACCUUCUGUAUCUGAAACUAUUACUAUGUAGAUGACAGUAGGGCAAUACUACCAUUCUUGCUGGAGGCCUGGAUGCAGAAUUCAGCUGUUCAAGACAGUAGUUGUUUGUGGUUUUCAGUGCUACCCUCAGACAUGGAGACUCUAUGACAACUCAUUAUUUGCGCCUCUGAGAUCUUCUGUGAUCCCUGGAUCAAAUAAACCUCAGUGUGGGCUGCUGAAGGAGAGUGCUUGAUGGAGAUCAUGGGUUUAUG